rnacentral:rRNA from 1 species
UGAGUAACCUGCCCUUAACUCUGGGAUAAGCCUGGGUAACUGGGUCUAAUACCGGAUAUGACUCCUCAUCGCAUGGUGGGGGGUGGAAAGAUUUAUUGUUGGUUUUGGAUGGACUCGCGGCCUAUCAGCUUGUUGGUGAGGUAAUGGCUCACCAAGGCGACGACGGGUAGCCGGCCUGAGAGGGUGACCGGCCACACUGGGACUGAGACACGGCCCAGACUCCUACGGGAGCAG